rnacentral:tRNA from 1 species
ACCUGGCUGGCUCAUGUGGUGGAGCAUGUGACUCUUGAUCUCCGGGUUGUGAGUUCAAGCCCCACGCUGGGUG